rnacentral:piRNA from 1 species
UGAUUGGUGUCUUUCGCACUGCAGGCUGAGU